UAUCCUGACCGUACUAAGGUAGCGUGAUAAGUUGCCCUUUAAUUGGGGGCUUGAAUGAACGGACACACGAGAGUUUAACUGUCUCUUUUAUAAACAUGGAAAUUAAUCUUUAGGUGAAAAAACCUAAAUAGAUUCAAAGGACAAAAAGACCCCAUAGAGCUUUGUUUUACCUUAUUUUUUAAAAACCUAUAUACUAGAAUCUAUUUUAAAUUUUUUAAAAACUUAACUGGGGCGGUUGAAGAAAAAAAAAACUUCUUUUAAAGCAUACUUACGCACAAAGGUCUAACUAACCUAAUUUUAAAAUUGAUCCUAAAUUUUUUAUAGUUCUUAACAUUUUAUUUAUAAUAUUCUCUAUACUUUAUAGUUUAAUAUAAAUCCAUAUAUUUAUAUAUAUAUUUCUAUACUCAUUUUUGACCAAAGGAAAAGCUACCUUGGGGAUAACAGAUUUAUCCUUCUUAAGAGUCCAUAUUGACAGAAGGGUUUGGCACCUCGAUGUUGG
rnacentral:rRNA from 1 species